rnacentral:rRNA from 1 species
GUAACACGUGGAACCUACCAUACGUCGGGAAUAGUCAGGGAAACUUGGGUAAUACCGGAUACGCCCUUCGGGGAAAGAUUUAUCGCCGUUUGAUGGGCCCGCGUCGGAUUAGCUAGUUGGUGGGGUAACGGCCUACCAAGGCAACGAUCCGUAGCUGGUCUGAGAGGAUGAUCACCCCACACUGGGACUGAGACACGGCCCAGACUCUUACGGGAGGCAGCAGUGGGGAAUAUUGGACAAUGGGCGCAAGCGUGAUCCAGCAAUGCCGCGUGGGUGAAGAAGGUCUUCGGAUUGUAAAGCCCUUUCGGCGGGGACGAUGAUGACGGUACCCGCAGAAGAAGCCCCGGCUAACUUCGUGCCAGCAGCCGCGGUAAUACGAAGGGGGCUAGCGUUGCUCGGAAUCACUGGGCGUAAAGGGCGCGUAGGCGGCGUGAUUAGUCAGGCGUGAAAGCCCUGGGCUCAACCUGGGGACUGCGCUUGAUACGGUCAUGCUUGAGGGCGGAAGAGGCUCGCGGAAUUCCCAGUGUAGAGGUGAAAUUCGUAGAUAUUGGGAAGAACACCGGUGGCGAAGGCGGCGAGCUGGUCCGUACCUGACGCUGAGGCGCGACAGCGUGGGGAGCAAACAGGAUUAGAUACCCUGGUAGUCCACGCCGUAAACGAUGUGCGCUGGAUGUUGGGGCCCCUAGGGCUCAGUGUCGCAGCCAACGCGUAAGCGCACCGCU